AUCGUUCAAUUUGCAUUUUGCAAAUCGGAAGUAGGUUCUAACCGAAGGAACGCGGA
ncrna:unclassified sequences Glutamine riboswitch